rnacentral:rRNA from 1 species
GGGUUGUGAGGUUAAGCGACUAAGCGUACACGGUGGAUGCCCUGGCAGUCAGAGGCGAUGAAGGGCGUGCUAAUCUGCGAUAAGCGCCGGUAAGGUGAUAUGAACCGUUAUAACCGGCGAUACCCGAAUGGGGAAACCCAGUGUGACUCGUCACACUAUCAUUAACUGAAUCCAUAGGUUAAUGAGGCGAACCGGGGGAACUGAAACAUCUAAGUACCCCGAGGAAAAGAAAUCAACCGAGAUUCCCCCAGUAGCGGCGAGCGAACGGGGAGGAGCCCAGAGCCUGAAUCAGCAUGUGUGUUAGUGGAAGCGUCUGGAAAGGCGCGCGAUACAGGGUGACAGCCCCGUACACAAAAGCGCAUGUGCUGUGAGCUCGAUGAGUAGGGCGGGACACGUGGUAUCCUGUCUGAAUAUGGGGGGACCAUCCUCCAAGGCUAAAUACUCCUGACUGACCGAUAGUGAACCAGUACCGUGAGGGAAAGGCGAAAAGAACCCCGGCGAGGGGAGUGAAAAAGAACCUGAAACCGUGUACGUACAAGCAGUGGGAGCACCCUUUGGGUGUGACUGCGUACCUUUUGUAUAAUGGGUCAGCGACUUAUAUUCUGUAGCAAGGUUAACCGAAUAGGGGAGCCGGAGGGAAACCGAGUCUUAACCGGGCGUUAAGUUGCAGGGUAUAGACCCGAAACCCGGUGAUCUAGCCAUGGGCAGGUUGAAGGUUGGGUAACACUAACUGGAGGACCGAACCGACUAAUGUUGAAAAAUUAGCGGAUGACCUGUGGCUGGGGGUGAAAGGCCAAUCAAACCGGGAGAUAGCUGGUUCUCCCCGAAAGCUAUUUAGGUAGCGCCUCGUGAAUUCAUCUCCGGGGGUAGAGCACUGUUUCGGCUAGGGGGCCAUCCCGGCUUACCAACCCGAUGCAAACUGCGAAUACCGGAGAAUGUUAUCACGGGAGACACACGGCGGGUGCUAACGUCCGUCGUGAAGAGGGAAACAACCCAGACCGCCAGCUAAGGUCCCAAAGUCAUGGUUAAGUGGGAAACGAUGUGGGAAGGCCCAGACAGCCAGGAUGUUGGCUUAGAAGCAGCCAUCAUUUAAAGAAAGCGUAAUAGCUCACUGGUCGAGUCGGCCUGCGCGGAAGAUGUAACGGGGCUAAACCAUGCACCGAAGCUGCGGCAGCGACACUGUGUGUUGUUGGGUAGGGGAGCGUUCUGUAAGCCUGUGAAGGUGUGUCGUGAGGCAUGCUGGAGGUAUCAGAAGUGCGAAUGCUGACAUAAGUAACGAUAAAGCGGGUGAAAAGCCCGCUCGCCGGAAGACCAAGGGUUCCUGUCCAACGUUAAUCGGGGCAGGGUGAGUCGACCCCUAAGGCGAGGCCGAAAGGCGUAGUCGAUGGGAAACGGGUUAAUAUUCCCGUACUUGGUGUUACUGCGAAGGGGGGACGGAGAAGGCUAUGUUGGCCGGGCGACGGUUGUCCCGGUUUAAGNNGACGAGGCACUACGGUGCUGAAGCAACAAAUGCCCUGCUUCCAGGAAAAGCCUCUAAGCAUCAGGUAACAUCAAAUCGUACCCCAAACCGACACAGGUGGUCAGGUAGAGAAUACCAAGGCGCUUGAGAGAACUCGGGUGAAGGAACUAGGCAAAAUGGUGCCGUAACUUCGGGAGAAGGCACGCUGACACGUAGGUGAAGUGAUUUACUCAUGGAGCUGAAGUCAGUCGAAGAUACCAGCUGGCUGCAACUGUUUAUUAAAAACACAGCACUGUGCAAACACGAAAGUGGACGUAUACGGUGUGACGCCUGCCCGGUGCCGGAAGGUUAAUUGAUGGGGUCAGCGCAAGCGAAGCUCCUGAUCGAAGCCCCGGUAAACGGCGGCCGUAACUAUAACGGUCCUAAGGUAGCGAAAUUCCUUGUCGGGUAAGUUCCGACCUGCACGAAUGGCGUAAUGAUGGCCAGGCUGUCUCCACCCGAGACUCAGUGAAAUUGAACUCGCUGUGAAGAUGCAGUGUACCCGCGGCAAGACGGAAAGACCCCGUGAACCUUUACUAUAGCUUGACACUGAACAUUGAGCCUUGAUGUGUAGGAUAGGUGGGAGGCUUUGAAGUGUGGACGCCAGUCUGCAUGGAGCCGACCUUGAAAUACCACCCUUUAAUGUUUGAUGUUCUAACGUGGACCCGUUACCCGGGUUGCGGACAGUGUCUGGUGGGUAGUUUGACUGGGGCGGUCUCCUCCUAAAGAGUAACGGAGGAGCACGAAGGUUGGCUAAUCCUGGUCGGACAUCAGGAGGUUAGUGCAAUGGCAUAAGCCAGCUUGACUGCGAGCGUGACGGCGCGAGCAGGUGCGAAAGCAGGUCAUAGUGAUCCGGUGGUUCUGAAUGGAAGGGCCAUCGCUCAACGGAUAAAAGGUACUCCGGGGAUAACAGGCUGAUACCGCCCAAGAGUUCAUAUCGACGGCGGUGUUUGGCACCUCGAUGUCGGCUCAUCACAUCCUGGGGCUGAAGUAGGUCCCAAGGGUAUGGCUGUUCGCCAUUUAAAGUGGUACGCGAGCUGGGUUUAGAACGUCGUGAGACAGUUCGGUCCCUAUCUGCCGUGGGCGCUGGAGAACUGAGGGGGGCUGCUCCUAGUACGAGAGGACCGGAGUGGACGCAUCACUGGUGUUCGGGUUGUCAUGCCAAUGGCACUGCCCGGUAGCUAAAUGCGGAAGAGAUAAGUGCUGAAAGCAUCUAAGCACGAAACUUGCCCCGAGAUGAGUUCUCCCUGAGACUUAGAGUCUCCUGAAGGAACGUUGAAGACGACGACGUUGAUAGGCCGGGUGUGUAAGCGCAGCGAUGCGUUGAGCUAACCGGUACUAAUGAACCGUGAGGCUUAACCUUACAACGCCGAAG